rnacentral:rRNA from 1 species
GACGGAGGAUGCAAGUGUUAUCCGGAAUCACUGGGCGUAAAGCGUCUGUAGGUGGUUUAAUAAGUCAACUGUUAAAUCUUGAGGCUCAACCUCAAAAUCGCAGUCGAAGCUAUUAGGCUAGAGUAUAGUAGGGGUAAAGGGAAUUUCCAGUGGAGCGGUGAAAUGCGUAGAGAUUGGAAAGAACACCGAUGGCGAAGGCACUUUACUGGGCUAUUACUAACGCUCAGAGACGAAAGCUAGGGUAGCAAAUGGG